rnacentral:rRNA from 1 species
AACGGCCGCGGUAUCCUAACCGCGCGAAGGUAGCAUAAUCACUUGUUCUUUAAAUGGGGACUCGUAUCAACGGCAUCACGAGGGUUAUACUGUCUCCUCUUUUUGAUCAGUGAAAUUGAUCUUCCCGUGAAGAAGCGGGAAUACUUAUAUAAGACGAGAAGACCCCAUGGAGCUUUAAACCAAAUAGCAACUUAACCAUAUAUUGCCCAAUAAUUUUAAGCCCUUGCUACAAGGUUUUUGGUUGGGGUGACCGCGGAGUAAAGCACAUCCUCCACGACGGAAAGACUAUAAUCUUUAUUUAAGAACUACAAUUCUAGAAAUUAGUAUACUAACGUUUACUGACCCGACAAUCGAUCAACGGAACAAGUUACCCUGGGGAUAACAGCGCAAUCUACUUCGAGAGCCCAUAUCGACAAGUAGGCUUACGACCUCGAUGUUGGAUCAGGGUAUCCCAGUGGUGCAGCCGCUACUGAAGGUUCGUUUGUUCAACGAUUAAAACCCUACGUGAUCUG